GGAGGGCUGUCCGAGCGGUCGAUGGUGGUUGACUUGAAAUCAACUGGGCGCAAGCCCCAGGGGUUCGAAUCCUCUGCCCUCCGCCA
rnacentral:tRNA from 1 species